ACACUGACACUGAGGUGCGAAAGCGUGGGUAGCAAACAGGAUUAGAUACCCUGGUAGUCCACGCCGUAAACGAUGUCGACCAGCCGUUGGGUGCCUAGCGCACUUUGUGGCGAAGUUAACGCGAUAAGUCGACCGCCUGGGGAGUACGGCCGCAAGGUUAAAACUCAAAUGAAUUGACGGGGGCCCGCACAAGCGGUGGAGCAUGUGGUUUAAUUCGAUGCAACGCGAAGAACCUUACCUACUCUUGACAUCCUGCGAACUUGUGAGAGAUCACUUGGUGCCUUCGGGAGCGCAGAGACAGGUGCUGCAUGGCUGUCGUCAGCUCGUGUUGUGAAAUGUUGGGUUAAGUCCCGUAACGAGCGCAACCCUUGUCCUUAUUUGCCAGCGGGUAAUGCCGGGAACUCUAAGGAGACUGCCGGUGACAAACCGGAGGAAGGUGGGGACGACGUCAAGUCAUCAUGGCCCUUACGAGUAGGGCUACACACGUGCUACAAUGGCCGGUACAAAGGGUUGCGAGCUCGCGAGAGUCAGCUAAUCCCGAAAAGCCGGUCUCAGUCCGGAUCGGAGUCUGCAACUCGACUCCGUGAAGUCGGAAUCGCUAGUAAUCGUGAAUCAGAAUGUCACGGUGAAUACGUUCCCGGGCCUUGUACACACCGCCCGU
rnacentral:rRNA from 1 species